AGUGUCUUCAGAAAACCUUGUCCAAGUGUGCCUCACAGGACCCCUAAGCACAGAGCUGUGUCAUUAUGCCUAGAUGGAGUUUUCUUAGUGUUUGGCUGCAACUCAGCUGCUUCUAAAAGAUGCCUCCACACUGGGCCAGAUUCCAGAAAGAGCUGAGCCAAUCCGCAUGAGCCCAGAACCUGUCGGCCUGACCUGGAUAAUAGACUGGGCCAGACUUCGCUAAACCGGCAUACUGAAGCAGCAAAUAUCGAUGACAUGAAAGAUCGAAUAACAGCUGCAAUCAACAUGGUGGACCGCGACACCCUGAGGCGCGUUUGGGAAGAAUUCUCAUAUCGGCUUGAUGUUGUCCGUGCUGCCGGUGGUGGCCACAUUGAGCACUUGUAAAACAUGAAAUAAAAACUUUAAGGUAUGUACAA